GGGGUUGUGGCUCAGCGGUAGAGCACUCACCUAGCAUGUGUGAGGCCCUGGGUUCAAUCCUCUGCACCA
rnacentral:tRNA from 1 species